GUAAGCGGAGUUUUCUAAAACAAUCCGGCGCAAUCUGCAAAAUAGCUCCAUCGAUCUAAUCAGUUCGCUUGAACAUGUAAAAUCAACCUUGCUCUGUACAUCCUCGCAUAGCAGUCCUCUGACAGUGGAGAAGAUCAAGUUCUGCAAAGAAACCCUUCACAAUCUCGAGAAGCGCUACAUCGAUCUAAUCUGAUCGAUUGAAUAUGCAAACGAAGUGCCAAUUCUACGUUUGGGAAUAUAGUCGGCGAUGAUUCUGCGGAGCUCCCGGGCCACAGAUUUGUUCUUCGGAUGGUAGUAGUGGAGGGAUGGUGUUUGGGGGUGUGGGGGAGGUCGGUGAUAUAAUAAUAUCAUCUGGAGGAACUCGCAGCCGCUCUGUCUUAUCUGUGGAAGAAUUGUCACGCCGAGUUUAUAUCUGUUUACGUAACGUAAAAAUUGCUGCAAGAAUCGCAGUCGACCUUGGAGCGGUGUGCCGAAAAAACGGAGCGGGUCCCGGACCCCGGUCUCCCGGAUGAGGCGAGCUGAUGCGAGGGACGAUCGAUCGAUGCGACGCGUGCCCAGAUCGACGCCGGUCGCCAUUGGCGGCGUCUGCGCAUGCGCCAUGUAGCCUGGACUUGGUGGCGCCUUGGCGCGGCUCACACUCCGCCAGCGCCCGUCGACGGCGACGCCUCGAGUGAGGAGGCGUCCUGGCCUCCACCAGGUGAUACCUCCACCCUAUCCACCACACCACCCAUUUGCAUGGACUACUAUCUACUCCACCGCCACUAACUCCAUCUCUGAAUGCACCGAAGAUUAUGGAUCCUUUUGGAUGCCUUGGUGUCCAUCAUCUGCUGAGAUACAUAAGUCUGACUUCCAGAAGCGCUUCCAUGGAAGAGCUAUUCAGAGGAGAGUUGUGUUGUUGUUUCACAGAAGACUUGCAACAAAGGUUUCUAUCUUCACCUCACGUCUCUCCAUUAGUGUUGGUCAAUGAGUGGAUUACAAUAUUUAUUCGAAAGUAUGGAUUCAGAAAAACUAAAUUUGCUGGAAGCAAACAUCUCAAUACAGAAGACCAGCGAUUACCUUGGAAUUGAAGAUUGCCUUUUUCCACACAUAAUAGCUAAUAAUUUUGUGCUGAUAAGGGAUUCAAGAGUAGAAUUGAACCUGAUGAAUUCAAUAGUAGAAUAAUUGGUUCAAUAGUUUGUGGAAUGUCUUCCUGCUAUGGACAUCUCAUAUGAUUAAUCGACUUGCCUUACAUAAACUGAGAUUUUGUUGGUUCAAGUGUUGAUAAUGUCCCAAAAGAUGUUAUGAAAGAUUUCACUAGGGAUUUUGGUUGAUUUUCUUGUGGAAAAUCUCUUGGAUCUUCGAAUAAUGAUCAUCUCUCAUAC